GCUGGGCACAGUGGCACGUGCCUAUAGUCCCAGCUACUUGGGAGGCUGAGGUGUGAGGAUCUCUUGAGCCCAGGAGUUCUGGGCUGUAGUGCGCUAUGCGGAUUGGGUGUCCGCACUAAGUUCAGCAUCAACAUGGUGACCUCCCGGGAGCAGGGAAUCAUCAGGUUGCCUAAGGAAGGGUGAACUGGCCCAGGUCAGAAAUAGCGCAGGUCAAAACUUCGGUGCUGAUCAGUAGUGGGAUCGCACCUGUGAAUAGCCACUGCACUCCAGCCUGGGCAACAUAGCGAGACCCCGUCUCU
rnacentral:SRP_RNA from 1 species